rnacentral:rRNA from 2 species
GGGUUGUGAGGUUAAGCGACUAAGCGUACACGGUGGAUGCCCUGGCAGUCAGAGGCGAUGAAGGGCGUGCUAAUCUGCGAUAAGCGCCGGUAAGGUGAUAUGAACCGUUAUAACCGGCGAUACCCGAAUGGGGAAACCCAGUGUGACUCGUCACACUAUCAUUAACUGAAUCCAUAGGUUAAUGAGGCGAACCGGGGGAACUGAAACAUCUAAGUACCCCGAGGAAAAGAAAUCAACCGAGAUUCCCCCAGUAGCGGCGAGCGAACGGGGAGGAGCCCAGAGCCUGAAUCAGCAUGUGUGUUAGUGGAAGCGUCUGGAAAGGCGCGCGAUACAGGGUGACAGCCCCGUACACAAAAGCGCAUGUGCUGUGAGCUCGAUGAGUAGGGCGGGACACGUGGUAUCCUGUCUGAAUAUGGGGGGACCAUCCUCCAAGGCUAAAUACUCCUGACUGACCGAUAGUGAACCAGUACCGUGAGGGAAAGGCGAAAAGAACCCCGGCGAGGGGAGUGAAAAAGAACCUGAAACCGUGUACGUACAAGCAGUGGG